UUCGAGCGUCAUUUCAACCCUCAAGCUCUGCUUGGUAUUGGGCCGCGCCGGUAACGGCUGGUCUCAAAAACAGUGGCGGCGCCGUUCGCGUCCUCAGCGUAGUAAUUCUUCUCGCUGUUGGGUCCGGGCGGUCGCUGGCCAGCAACCCCCAAUUUUCUAUGGUUGACCUCGGAUCAGGUAGGGAUACCCGCUGAACUUAA
rnacentral:misc_RNA from 1 species